rnacentral:rRNA from 1 species
UACGUAGGGUGCAAGCGUUGUCCGGAAUUAUUGGGCGUAAAGAGCUUGUAGGCGGUUUGUCGCGUCUGCUGUGAAAUUUCGGGGCUCAACCCCGGGCCUGCAGCCGAUACGGGCAAGCUAGAGUUCGGUAGGGAGACUGGAAUUCCUGGUGUAGCGGUGAAAUGCGCAGAUAUCAGGAGGAACACCGGUGGCGAAGGCGGGUCUCUGGGCCGAAACUGACGCUGAUGCGCGAAAGCCAGGGGAGCAAACGGG